CUCUGUGGGAGAGAGGAGAGAAGUGUUCCAAACUUGGACCCGAGGUUUCCAGUUCUCGCUAGGAAAUUUCGUCGCCCUGGCGGGGUUCGUCUUGAUAAAUGGUCAGCUCUCAGCGGGCUCCCUUGUCCGGUUCAGCAACUUUCACUUUUCAAAAAAAAACACAAAAGUAAACAUUCGCUUGGUGAACUUUCACUCACCCACCCACCCCCAACUGUCUUUUGCGUGUCGCUUCCAGCCGUGGACUUGGGUAGGGGACGGAGGAGUCUAGGUUUGAUAUUUCGUGACUACAGGACGCCCGGGGGAUGUGAGGCGGACGGAGGGGCCUGGCAUGCGGCAGCUGUUCCGGCAAGGCUCCGGCCUUCCCCGCCACUUCGCCCCGAGAAAACUUUAAUGACGGCCUCGUCUCGACUCGGCAAGCCACAGUCUUUCUUAUAUAGAUAGGAGCAGACUUUUCGGCUCCUUAAAACCACGUCUUGUGCAUACUUCCUAGGCAUUUCAGACGCUGAGGGCAACGGAAGGCGGUCGGAAAGUUAUGUAGACCAGCGCCUUAAAGAGUCAAGGCAGUUUUUAGAGACGUUCCUAGUCUUCGAGGCAAGAAAUCUAUAGGUUUCCGAUGAUGGCGGAUAAAUGGAGAGAAAAGUGAUGGGAGGGCACGUGUACAGAAAGAUCGGGAGCCGUUGAGACGAAUGUGAGGAAGACUACCUUGAUGAAGAGAAUCUACCGCAAUAAGACAUAUUAAAAUGCCAUCAUUAAUGGAGCGUGAGGCUCAUAUAGCACAAGGUGUGUGAUCACUUGCUAAACCACUUUGCUCGUAUAUGAUUAUUCAUAAAAGAUGAAAACUUAUACCGGUGAUUCAGAUCAUGAUUGUCAUGUCGACAUUGGUUGUUGUAAUCUGUUGCAGUAGCUAGUGUCAACGACCUAAGUCUAUGUUGUUAAAGGAUCGAUGUCAAAAGAACAUCUACAGUCAGAACUGUUCAAGACGACCGCUCAGAAGACUGGUCUAUGUGGACAGGUGGUCACUAUAGACAGGAUUUGUAAUGUAUGUCUCAAAGGGAAAAUUAUCUAAGGAACCGCCAAAAAGUGGCCACAUUCUUCAGGUGGUCCUUUAGGUAAUGCAAGGACGUUAUAUUGGGUAAUGGUAGACA